AGAGUUUGAUCCUGGCUCAGGAUGAACGCUGGCGGUCUGCUUAACACAUGCAAGUCGAACGGAGCCUUUCGGGGCUUAGUGGCGGACGGGUGAGUAACGCGUGAGAAUCUGCCCAUAGGAUAGGGACAACAGUUGGAAACGACUGCUAAUACCUGAUGUGCCGAGAGGUGAAACAUUUAUGGCCUGUGGAUGAGCUCGCGUCUGAUUAGCUAGUUGGUGGGGUAAGAGCUCACCAAGGCGACGAUCAGUAGCUGGUCUGAGAGGAUGAUCAGCCACACUGGAACUGAGACACGGUCCAGACUCCUACGGGAGGCAGCAGUGGGGAAUUUUCCGCAAUGGGCGAAAGCCUGACGGAGCAAGACCGCGUGGGGGAUGAAGGUUUGUGGAUUGUAAACCCCUUUUG
rnacentral:rRNA from 1 species